GGAUGGGUGCCCGAGUGGCCGAAGGGGCAGCACUGGAAAUGCUGUGUGCGGUUAAUCCGCACCGUGGGUUCAAAUCCCACCCCAUCCGCCA
rnacentral:tRNA from 1 species